rnacentral:rRNA from 1 species
UACGGGGGGGGCAAGCGUUGUUCGGAAUUACUGGGCGUAAAGGGCUCGUAGGUGGCCAACUAAGUCAGACGUGAAAUCCCUCGGCUUAACCGGGGAACUGCGUCUGAUACUGGAUGGCUUGAGAUUGGGAGAGGGAUGCGGAAUUCCAGGUGUAGCGGUGAAAUGCGUAGAUAUCUGGAGGAACACCGGUGGCGAAGGCGGCAUCCUGGACCGGCAUUGACGCUGAGGCGCGAAAGCCAGGGGAGCAAACGGG